rnacentral:rRNA from 1 species
AGACUUUGAUUAUGGCUCAGGACGAACGCUGGCGGCGUGCUUAACACAUGCAAGUCGAACGGUCUACCUCGACAGAAACCUUCGGGUUGAAGACGAGAUCUAGAUAGUGGCGGACGGGUGAGUAACACGUGAAUAAUCUAUCCUCAAGUUUGGGAUAACCUGGCGAAAGUCGGGCUAAUCCGAGGUAAGCUGAGAGUGUGGCAUCACACAAUCAGAAAAGGUGGCAUUGCCAUCGUUUGAGGAGGAGUUCGCGGUAGAUUAGCUAGCUGGUGAGGUAACGGCUCACCAGGGGCAACAAUCUAUAGCUGGUCUGAGAGGACGAUCAGUCACACUGGAACUGAGACACGGUCCAGACUCCUACGGGAGGCAGCAGUGGGGAAUCUUCCACAAUGGGCGCAAGCCUGAUGGAGCAACGCCGCGUGAAUGAAGAAGGCCUUAGGGUCGUAAAGUUCUGUCCUUAGGGAAGAACCGUGGGUAUAGCAAAUGAUACCCACCUGACGGUACCUUUGGAGGAAGCACUGGCUAACUACGUGCCACAGCCGCGGAUAAUACGUAGAGUGCAAGCGUUGUCCGGAAUUAUUGGGCGUAACAGGGUACGCAGGCGGAUAGUAAAGUCAAGCGUGAACAGGUGUCGGCUUAACCGACAGACUGCGUUUGAAACUGAUUAUCUUGAGUGUAACAGAGGAGAGUGGAAUUCCUCAGUGUAGUGGUCGAAAUACGU